CAUCGCUGCAUGGCUUGGGACUGUGCACACGCACACACAACUCUGCAAGUGCCAUGGAAACAGAGCAUCCUGCAUCCUCAGCAGAGGACUGCCUUCCAGCUCCUCUCCUCCCAGACCCACAAUGGGCAAAGCCUGUAGGUUUUCCUCCUUUGGUCGCUCAUCACCCAUGUGAGCUUGGAGCAAACCUAGUCUCUUGGGUCCCCAUGGUCCUGAUUGGAAUUAAUCUCACUAUUGGCCUGAUUCAGGGCAUCUUGGAUGGAGGGAAACAUAUAUUUUUAGGGGAUGCUUUGUUUGGAGAUGUUUUAACAACAGGGAUAGGGUGGUAUGUGGGAGCAUCACCACUGUGCCAUGCUCAGCCAUCCCUCCUCCUCGGGGUACCGCACGCGGUUUCGCUGCCCGACCCCAUAAUGUGACAAUGCCACCAAGAUCCAUGCUUAUGAUCUCAUCAUCAGGCUACAUUUAGGGCGAUGGAGGUGAUUUGUAGCCCUGCUCCUGGGAGGUGUGUGGCUGGGAAUGAGCUGCAGAUCCCAGAAAAAUGGUCCUGGAAAAAAUACAGGUCUGCUGGUCCUUUUUAUAGCCUAGGCAAUUGAAUCGAGCUCAUCGCUUAGCCGAGACAUUUAGAAAGGAUUUUCCCCUCGAAUCCUGAUUAGAUUUCCCACUGAAACGCCCACUUGGACUGCUGCUGCUAGGAGAUGCGUUGGGUUGCUGCUCAAGGAGGCAUCCGGCAUAAAAAUAAACCCAGGAAAGAAGCUGAAAGCUACAGGGACGUGGAGAAGACUUUUUGCUGUGUGAAACCCACCGUCUUGCAUGGGCAUGGGUGGAUGGCUGUGCUGCCUGGGGCCAUUAGCCAAGCUGGGACUUGACGGAGAGCAGGGAAAUGAAGGAAAGAGAGGAAUUUCCAACAUCACGUUGAACCAACGCAAGCAGAUUGGGAAGGGGUUGGCCAUGGGCAGGGGGGGGGCUAAAAAUGGCACAGCACUGCAGGUGGAUGUGGCUGGCACCUUGGAUCCCUGCUCCACCACUGUCCCAUCCCUGUCCCUUUCUGGUGCCCGACCUUGGGGAUGGAUGCGCAUGGGUUAUCCGGGGGCAUCGCUGCAGCGAUGGCGCUGCUUCACUCCCCCAGUAUUCCAGGAGGGUUCAGGGCUGCAGGUUUGAGUUGCUGUGUUUACAUCGGACUGCAGGCAGAGGGAGGAAGGAGGGGACACAGGGAGCUGACGUGCUCAGAAUAAACCCAUGCCACCUCCUCCUCCGCCUCGCAGCAAAAAAAAAAAAACCAGAACGCAUCUGCCUCCCCCACCCCACGCCAUUCCCAUACCCAAAGUGUCCACCCCGGGGAGGAGGGGCCACCUCGCAGCUCAUCCCAGGGGCAAAGGCCUUGGAGAAACCCCGGCCUGAUUUAUUCUGGGCACCGUAAUAAUUAUGGGAAUUAAUAUUAGUAAGAGCUCCCCUUCUUUGGCAGCUCCUGGUGCGACCCCAGCAUGGUCCCAGGCCUUUGGGUUGGAGCUCAUGGUGUCUCUUUAUCCUAGCCCUUUUGCAAGGGAUAAAUGGGUUAUUUUCUGCAGGGAUGGGAGGUUAUUUUGAUAGCAUUUCCCUCUCCCAUACUCAGUAAUGGAAAAGCGGCUCGGCUGGCUCACUGGCAGCAGAGGGGUGAGGCCGUCUGCAGAGAUGCUCAGUGUGCAGAGAAUGAAGGGAAAGGACCCCAAAUGGAAGGGAUUCCACAUAGAAGGGAUCCCAAAUGGAAAGGUCUCCAGAUAGAAGAGACUCCAAAUGGAAGGGACCCCAAACGGGAGGGAUCCCGAAUAGAAGGGACCCCAAAUGGAAGGGAUCGCAAAUGAAGGGACCCCAAAUGUGAGGGCCUCCAGAUAGAAGAGGCUCCAAGUGGAAGGGACCCCAAAUGGAAGAGACCCCAAAUCUCUUCUAUUCUCCCUGUUAUUCCUUAAACAGGAGCUUGGGUUCUCUUGGAGGUCGAGGGUGAGCUCUCGUAGCGUUACCAAGCAGGCGGCUGUGGGCUGCCUAAUUUUUAUUAGGGUUUUUAUUUUGGGGUGGCUUUUGGUAUUUAUUUGCCCCCCAUCUGGACCUUGGUGGGGAAACCAAGGCUGGAAAGAGAAGAGCGAGAAACCUCCGUGAACAAAGGAGAGGAUGCGGGAACCCGCAGCAAGAAGAGCUUUAUUGGCACGGCGCAACCCGAUGGGAUCCUUGCGGCAUCCACAGCGCACCCGGUAGGUCUGUCCCCAAAUACCUGCAGCACCCCUGGGGGGGUGCAAGGAGCUGUCCCAGGGACCCCGAGCCAUCAUCUCUGCUCCCAUCCCAGAGGCAAGAGUCUGCUCACGGAGCUGCAAAGAGAUCUGGGGGCCCCAGGCCAUGGGGUGAGAAAGAGGAACCUCCAGUAAGGGUUGGCUUUGGCCAGUGCUGGGCUCCUGCUGGGAACACUGGGCCAGCUGUGGGCGAGGGCAGUGGAUGGGCUCCAGCUGCAAAGAGAGGGGAUGGGAAAGAGGAUGGGAAGAAGAAGGGCGGGAGAGGAAAUGGAAGAAGGGAAUGGAAGGAGAAUGGAAAAGGGAUGGGAAAAAGGAAUGGGGAGAAGAGACGGGAAAUGGAAUUGGACAGGGGAUGGGAAAGGGAUGGGAGAAGGAUGGGAAAAGGAAUGGGUUAAAGGAAUGGGGGAAAGAGAUGAGAAGGGAUGGGAGAAGGAAUGGGAGAAUGAUGAGAAAAGGGAUGGGGAAAAGGAAGGGAAAAGGAUGGGAAAAGAGGAUGGAGAAAAAGAUAGGAGAAAGAGAUGGGGGAAAGGGAAUGGAGAAGAGAUGGGAAAGGGGAUGGGAAAAUGGGUAGGAGAAACAGCUUGGGAGAAAAGGACGGGAAAGGGGAUAGGAGAAGGGAUGAGAGAAGGGCCCCAGCGGGAUGCAGGGUAGGCGAUGGGCUAUCAGGCACCUGUCUGCCUAUAAGAGGAGGAAAAAAAAGGGUGGAGGGGGGAAAAAAGGGGAUAAAAAAGGAGGAAGAAUAUAAGAAGGUGGGGUGGUGGUGGAGCAGCGCGGGGCUGCAGGGGCUCUGCGGGGGCACCGCUCGGCGUUAGGCCGCGGGGUCGUGGCCCCCUCCACCUCCCUCCCCUCUGCAGUUUCUUGAAUUUUCUUUUAUUUCAUUUUAUUUUAUUGCAUUUUCUGAAUAAUUCAGGUGCUGCCACCCCCUCCUCUCCCCCAGCCCUCCCCUCCGCCGCCGCUCGCACACGCCUCUGUGUUAGGGGUAUAAUGAGGCAGCCGAUGGGUAAUUGGGAUCUUUUGUAGGGAGGAUGUAUGGCCGGGGCAGCUGCUGGGGGGGUGAAGGGGGGGGGGGGGCAUCUGCGGGAGUGGGGGGGACGCAUUACCAUACAAAGGGAACAAAUGACAUGUUUAUCCCUCCAAGAGAUUUACGCCCGGCCUCGCCCUGCAGACACAGCGCUCCCCCCAUCUGCAUCCCCGACACUUUUGAUUUAAAUUAUAAGGAUUAAAGGAAGGGGGGGGGUAGGGGGAGAGGCGGGGGAGAGGCGCAUAAACAGCCACCGGAAAAAUAGCGGUAAUCAGAAGGAAGGGUUAAAGUGGGAAAAUGGUAAUAAAAAAGUGGCUUUGCUUUGCCCAACCUCCUUCCAUCUGGAGGGGGAGCGCUGACCCCAGGAGCUGCCCUUGGUUUUAGGAGGGGGGGGAAUAACGAGGCAUUAUUAAAAGAAGGGGGAAAAAUAUAUAUAUAUGAAAAAUGGGGGAAAUGGGGAUGAAAGGAGAAAAGGAGAAAAAAAAAAGGAGAAAUGGGUAGAAGAAAAGGAAUGAAUGGGCAGAAAAAGGGGAGAAAAGGGUGGCAAAAAAAAAAAAAAAAGGAGAAAAGGGCAAUGAAAAAAAUGAAGAGGAAAGGGGGGGAAAGGGAGAAAAGGGCAAAAUAAAAAAAGGAGAAAAAGGCAAACCAGUAAUAAUAAUAAAAAAAGCUCAAAGCACAAAGCGGCGGCUCCAGCCCAGCCCCGGGGCUCCCCCGUGGGUCACCCCCGAGUGACAGCUCUGCGGGAAGGGCCCCCCCGGGGACCUCCUUCACCCCCCCCUCCCCUCUCCUCUAUCCCAAAGCUCUCCCUCCCCCCCCCCCCCAGCCCACCGCUCUCACCCCCCUCCCCGCAGCGCUGCGGGUGCCACCUGCGCGGGUGCGCAGCGCGGCGCAAAGUUGCGCGCCCCGCCGCCGGGGUUCGGGGCCGCGCAGGGGGGUGCGGAAAAGCCGCGGAACGGCCUCCGGGCCUCGGCUCGAUGCUGGUCAGCCUCGUUCUUGGCAUUCACCGCGUGCCUUAAUUGUAUGGACAUUUAAAUCAAGGUCCGCUGUGAACACGGAGAGAGGGGCCUUUCCUCAAGGAAAAGAUGAAACGAAAAUAAAAAGGAAAAUAAUAAGAAGAAAGCAAAAUAUGUCUUUUGGAGAGAGAGAGAGAGAGAGGCGGUGGAGGAAAAAAAAAAAGAUCAAAGCAGAAAGGAAAAAUAAGAAUAACUAAAAACAAACAAACAAACAAAAAAAGCCAAAAACCAAAAAACAAAACGGGGGAGGGAUGGAAAAAAAAGGAGAGAGGGGCCGCGCUGCCCGCCGCCCCCGCGCAGCACAGCCUUUGUUCUGCCCAUGGGCAGGGAGGGGGAAAUCCAAAUAAACCCCCAGCCCCCCCCUCUAUUUCCCCCCCUCCGCCUUCUCUCCCUGCCCUCCCCACCGCCGCAUCCCGGGUACGAUCCGCACGGAGGCAGCGGGUGGGGGGGUUGGGGGGGCUGUGCGUUACCUGCAGCCCGAGCCCCGCUGCGCUGCGCUGCGCUGCUGCUGCUGCUGCUGCUGCUCUAAAAGGGGUCUGGAGGAGCGCGAGGAGCCUUCCCCCGUCCGCCUGUGCUGCUGUGCUGCUGCGCUGCUGCUGCAGUCAAAUCCUUUUCGCUCGGAUCCCAAGUGGUGCAAAAAAAAAAAAAAAAAAAAAAAAAAAAAAAAGGAAAAAAAAAAGGGGGGAAAAAAAAGAAAAAAAAGGGAAAAAAAAAAGAGAGGAAAAAGAAAAAAAAAGGCAGGAAAAAAAAAAAAAGAGAGGAGAGGGGCCCAUCUGGCUUCUCAUCAGCUUUGUCAAGUCUUGCAUACGCUAAAAUGCUAAUGACCUAGAUAGCUCAUGCAAAAUGCAGCAGAGAGAGGAGGGAGCAGCGAGGGAGGGGAGGAGGGAGGGGGAAAGCAGAGGGAGGGGGAGAGCCCGGCUGCGGCGCCCUCUCCCCUCCGCCCCCCCCUCCCCCCCCCCCCACCGCCCGCUGCCCCAAUGCACCUUGCUGGGGACGAGCGGGCUUUGAUGGGAAAGGUCACCCGGGUGGGGUGCGGGGGGGCGGCGAACAGCCCCGCAUCCCCCCCCAUCGCCAUCCCCAUCCCUCGGGGGGGGGGGUGGUGGGGGUGAGGGGAGGCUGUGCCCGCAGCGCAUCCCGACCCCGCAUUGAGCCCCCAAGCCCCCCAGCCCAAAUCCCGGUAAAAAGAAGGAAAAUACCCCCUGCUCCGGUCCCUCGAUGCGGCGUAAUCCCGAGGAAAGCGGUUUUGGGGCGAAGGUGGGGGGGGUUAAAAUGGAGCCCCCCCCCCCAAGCGCUCUGCGCGCUACGCGGAGGUGAAAAAUUAAGAAAAAAUAAUAAUAAUGAAAAAAAAUAUAUAUGAUAAUAACAAUAAUAACGAUGAUAAUGAUAAUAAUAAUAAUAAAAAGAGAUUAAAACUGAGAAGAGAUGGGCGGAGGGGAGCGAAGCGGCGGCCGCGGGUGCGGGCGGAGGUGCGCACGGAGCGCGCAGCGCGGAGCUGCCGGGCGGGAGCCGCGGAGAGAGGAGCUGUCAGCGGCGCCUUCUCAUUUAUCAUUAGCCAGCCCUAAUCUUGCUCGCUGUCCUCCUUCGGUGAUGUUGAUCCACUUUCCCUCCCUCCUCCCCCAAGCCCCCCCCCCCCCCCAACCCCCCCUCCCCGCGCACCCCCUCCCCGAAAGGAUUAUUCAGCCAAAAAAAAAAAAAAAAAAAAAAUCCCAGCUGCUGACUCCGUGCGCCGAAAACAAGGGGCGGCUGCACCCCCCGGCCCCGCUCCCGCUGAGAUGCUCCGGGUGUUGUCCGCAGCAAUGCCGCCUUUUAAAACAAGGAGCGACCCCGCCGGGAGAGAGCCCGCAGCCCUGCCCAGCAUCCCCCCCCCUACCUCCUCCCAACCCCCCCCCCCCCCCCUUCCCCCUUACUGCCCUGCGCCCUCUGCCCGGGGAUGGAUGGAUGAGUGGAUGGAUGGAUGGAUGGAUGGAUGGAUGGAUGGAUGGAUGGAUGGAUGGAUGGAUGGGGAGGGGAGGGGGUGAUGUGGGGAAGCCCCCUGCUCGCGGUGCCCCCCCUUGGCCUCCACCCGGCCCCGCUGCGGAGAGAGGAUGCUGCUGCAGAGCCGGGUGCAGCCCUAAAAAAAAUAAUAGGAAAAUAGGUCCUUUUUUUUUUUAAAAAAAAAAAGACUCCCCCUCUACCUUCCAACCCCCUCCCCCCCCCUUCCCCCCCC
ensembl:lncRNA